rnacentral:tRNA from 1 species
GUGGGUGUAGCUCAACGGUUAGAGCACCGGGCUGUGGACCCGGGGGUUGAGGGUUCGAAUCCCUUCACUCACCCCA